UACGUAGGGUGCGAGCGUUGUCCGGAAUUAUUGGGCGUAAAGAGCUCGUAGGCGGUUUGUCGCGUCUGCUGUGAAAACCCGAGGCUCAACCUCGGGCCUGCAGUGGGUACGGGCAGACUAGAGUGCGGUAGGGGAGAUUGGAAUUCCUGGUGUAGCGGUGGAAUGCGCAGAUAUCAGGAGGAACACCGAUGGCGAAGGCAGGUCACUGGGCCGCAACUGACGCUGAGGAGCGAAAGCAUGGGGAGCGAACAGG
rnacentral:rRNA from 1 species